CGGGUGAGUAACACGUGAGUGACCUGCCUUUUAGACUGGAACAACUUACCGAAAGGUGAGCUAAUGCCGGAUGAGUUAUGUAAGUGCAUGUUUAUAUAGGAAAAGUUGGGGAGACCUGACGCUGAAAGAUGGACUCGCGUCCCAUUAGCUAGUUGGUAGGGUAAUGGCCUACCAAGGCGACGAUGGGUAGCCGGCCUGAGAGGGUGGCCGGCCACACUGGGACUGAGACACGGCCCAGACUCCUACGGGAGGCAGCAG
rnacentral:rRNA from 1 species